UUCUCCGGGUCAAACCAGGUACCUCCAAGCCAUUUCCAGCUCAGGGCUGACCGACCCCCAUUGACCCCAUGUGGCUGCGCCAAUUUGUAAUUUUUGGUCAGAAAAGGCGCGCCGAUCGUAUUCCGCCCUCCACCCCAAAGAAAAAGGCCCAACAAUUGAUGAAGGUCUUGAACGAUGGGCGGUGCAAGUGAAAGUGGUGAAGGGUCAGCGAUCGCAGUUAUUUUCCGGUAUACAACAAGGGAAUUGCUGUUCCAUGGAAUCAAGGACGUGAGAACAUCUUGGUGUGUUGGCUGGUUUUCAGUCCAUAGUUUUUACAAGAAAAAGGACGUUGGAAGCUCAAAUAUGGUUUGAUUAUUGGGUUGUGUCUCUUUGUGACGAAACUCAUACAUGCGAACAUGCUCUUUUUUCUUGAAUUCAGAGGUGUGCUAUUUGUUCUGUGGUGUCUGCAGAAGGCUACUUUCUGUUGAAUACAUUGUAUUUCGCCAUUAUUCUAGCUGCAUCUUACUAUUCAUAUGCACCAAACAAAGAAUAAAAUCCAGUGGUAUUUUCUGAAGUUCACUGGUGAAUGAAGUGUCUUCUAUUGGAAUUGGUAGUUAGGACUUUUCUGGGAGCAACUUUUAUAUUUGGAUAUUAAGAGAAUGAAGCACUGUUCCAUUCUGCUUAUGAACCGCCAACCCAGGUGGUUUGUCCUGGUGCCUGAGAGUUGAAUUGUUGUAGGUGUAUUUAUUUAAUUCAUGAAAUGUGAGUUUUAUAAAACUGUAAUUUGAGUGCUAUCUUCUCCUUAAA